GUGAGUAACACGUAGGUGAUCUACCGCAGGGGUUGGGGAUAGCCCAUGGAAACAUGGGGUAAUACCGAAUACGCUCAUUUGGCUGUGGCCGGAUGAGGAAAGGCGCUUCCGCGCCCCCCUGCGAUGAGCCUGCCCCCCAUUAGCUAGUUGGUAGGGUAACGGCCUACCAAGGCGACGAUGGGUAGCCGGCCUGAGAGGGUGAUCGGCCACACUGGGACUGAGAUACGGCCCAGACUCCUACGGGAGGCAGCAGCUAAGAAUCUUCCGCAAUGGACGAAAGUCUGACGGAGCGACUCCGCGUGGGUGAAGAAGGCCGGAAGGUUGUAAAGCCCUUUUCUCGUUGAGGAAUAAGCACAGGAGGGAAUGCCUGUGGGAUGACGGUAGGCGAGGAAUAAGUCCCGGCCAAUUACGUGCCAGCAGCCGCGGUAACACGUAUGGGACGAGCGUUGUUCGGAAUCAUUGGGCGUAAAGGGCGCGUAGGCGGCGAGGUAAGCCUGGUGUGAAAGACCGCAGCUUAACUGCGGAACCGCGCUAGGAACUGCUUUGCUUGAGUUCAGGAGGGGGAGCUGGAAUUCCAGGUGUAGGGGUGAAAUCUGUAGAUAUCUGGAAGAACACCGGCGGCGAAGGCGAGCUCCUGGCCAUGAACUGACGCUGAGGCGCGAAAGCGUGGGGAGCGAACAGGAUUAGAUACCCUGGUAGUCCACGCUGUAAACGAUGUGCACUAGGUGUUGGGCCACGAAGGUUCAGUGCGGGAGUCAACGCGUUAAGUGCACCGCGUGGGGAGUAUGCUCGCAAGGGUGAAACUCAAAGGAAUUGACGGGGGACCGCACAAGCGGUGGAGCAUGUGAUUUAAUUGGAUGAUACGCGAGAAACGUUACCAAAGCUUGACAUAUGCUGGAGUGUGCAGGAGAAUGAGCAGCCUUUGGAGGCCGGUAUACAGGUAUUGCAUGUCCGUAGUCAGCUCGUGCCAUGAGGUGUUGGGUUAAGUCCCGCAACGAGCGCAACCCAAACGGUAUGUUGCCAGCAUUGAGUUGGGGACUCAGGCGGAACUGCCGGUGACAAACCGG
rnacentral:rRNA from 1 species